CCGAGUUCGGCGCCGCCGUGAACACCCACCAUCAUGGCUGCUUCGAGUCCAAGGUUCGCGCAGACGCACAAGCAAGGCCACGAACCGGGCUGGCCGCGCGGGUGGGACGGAGGGCGGGGCCGAGCGCCAGCCCCGCCCCCUACCCGCUCCCGGAGGGGGAGCUGUCCCCGAAGGGGAAAGGACGAAGGAUCCUUUGCUCCAGAACCUACCCUCAACCAUACCUUGGAGAGACCAUUGAAGCAGAAACGUUGGAUAGUGUUUUGCUGAGGCAAACACAUGAAGGAACAUGCUGAGAUAAGCUUCCCAUUUCUACGCUAAGAUCUUGGAGGUUUACUGCCCCAAGCUGAGGCUCUUCCUUUCCAGGGGAGCACUGUGAGCCGUCUUAGCCACUGCUGCUUCCACAUAAGGAAAGAGAAUCAAGUGUAAACUCCAACCGGCUGCGGCUACAGCAAAAACGCCCCACCGCCCAUUGGCAGCCGCUUUGAAAUUAACGGGUCCGGUGAAAAGGCUUCCCAUUGGCAGCCGCUUUGAAAUUAACGGGUCCGGUGUAAAGGCUUCCUACGGCGAGAGAGCGUUUUAAAAGAGGCUUCUACGGCUCGAUCUUCUCAGAACGGUGCUAUGGUCGGCCUCCUAGACCCUCACUCACCCAGAGGCUUCUGGACUCGUACCAACCUUACGGCGCGCGAGUUAAAAAACCUUAUGCCGCGCAGGGCUGAGCGGCACGCGGGGCCGUGGCCCAUGGAGCGACCCUCUCGCGCCAGGCCCGCGCCCGGCCCUCCCGCCUGAGGACUCCGAGCGGCCGCAAGUCAGCGCCCGCCUGCCGCAGGGCCUCGAGCCCCCAGCCCGCAGCGCGGAAGCGCCCACCGCACAGGCCCAGGCAGGGAGCUCGUUUGGAGCCUUUGCGGGUCUCUUGAUGCAUGAAGUAGCUGCAGAUGACCUUGAACCGAUCAUACCUUCAUUCUGCAGGUCUGGGGAUUCCAGGCAAGCACCACCUCCCUGGGCUUAGGCGCUCCCCACCCCUCUUAUCGCUAAAAUGAGAACAAACACACUCUAAGUAUUAUUACCUCACUGACUGAAGUACUAAGCACAGGCGGGACGAGAAACAGGAUUGUUGGCUUACACCUGGAAUCCUGCAAGAAGAGGGAGAGGUCACAAAGUGCUCUGGACACCGUGGUCAGAAUCCUAAUCCAAGGAAAACCAGAAGCUGCUGGAGUUACACGUCUUUUUCCCCUGUAAAUGGGAUGUAUUGAGAUUACCAGAGAAAUACAUGUUUAUAUGUGGAGAGAAAA